GUCUCAGUUCGGAUCGGAGUCUGNAACCCGACNCCGUGAAGCUGGAUUCGCUAGUAAUCGCGCAUCAGCCAUGGCGCGGUGAAUACGUUCCCGGGCCUUGUACACACCGCCCGUCAAGCCAUGGAAGCCGGGGGUGCCUGAAGUGUGCAGCCGCAAGGAGCGCCCUAAGGUAAAACCGGUGACUGGGGCUAAGUCGUAACAAGGUACC
rnacentral:rRNA from 1 species